rnacentral:rRNA from 1 species
GACGAACGCUGGCGGCGUGCCUAAUACAUGCAAGUAGAACGCUGAAGGAGGAGCUUGCUUCUCUGGAUGAGUUGCGAACGGGUGAGUAACGCGUAGGUAACCUGCCUGGUAGCGGGGGAUAACUAUUGGAAACGAUAGCUAAUACCGCAUAAGAGUAGAUGUUGCAUGACAUUUGCUUAAAAGGUGCAAUUGCAUCACUACCAGAUGGACCUGCGUUGUAUUAGCUAGUUGGUGAGGUAACGGCUCACCAAGGCGACGAUACAUAGCCGACCUGAGAGGGUGAUCGCUCACACUGGGACUGAGACACGGCCCAGACUCCUACGGGAGGCAGCAGUAGGGAAUCUUCGGCAAUGGACGGAAGUCUGACCGAGCAACGCCGCGUGAGUGAAGAAGGUUUUCGGAUCGUAAAGCUCUGUUGUAAGAGAAGAAACGAGUGUGAGAGUGGAAAGUUUCACAACUGGGACGGGUUCUACC